UCCGCAGAAUAGAUAGACUCUCAGACUAUCAUCCCAUGCUGAGCAAUAAUAAUCAGCCUCGUCCUCAGCCUGGAGCCCAGUGAUGGUCAGGGUGCCUGUGCUGCCAGACUUGGAGCCAGAGAAUCGUUCAGGGACCCCCGAGGGUCUGCUAU